AAACGUAGGUGGCAAACGUUAUCCGGAUUUACUGGGCGUAAAGCGCGCGCAGGCGGCUUUGUAAGUCUGACGUGAAAGCUCCCGGCUUAACUGGGAGAGGCCGUCGGAUACUGCGAAGCUUGAGGUUAUGAGAGGAAAGUGGAAUUCCCGGUGUAGUGGUGGAAUGCGUAGAUAUCGGGAGGAACUCCAGUGGCGAAGGCGACUUUCUGGCCUACACCUGACGCUGAGGCGCGAAAGCGUGGGGAGCGAACAGCAUUAGAAACCCCAGUAGUCC
rnacentral:rRNA from 1 species